rnacentral:rRNA from 1 species
UACGAAGGGGGCUAGCGUUGCUCGGAAUCACUGGGCGUAAAGGGUGCGUAGGUGGAUUUUUAAGUCAGGGGUGAAAUCCUGGAGCUCAACUCCAGAACUGCCUUUGAUACUGGGAAUCUUGAGUCCGGGAGAGGUGAGUGGAACUGCGAGUGUAGAGGUGAAAUUCGUAGAUAUUCGCAAGAACACCAGUGGCGAAGGCGGCUCACUGGCCCGGUACUGACGCUGAGGUGCGAAAAGCGUGGGGAGCAAACAGG